AUAGAGAAACAUCAGUCCGGUGCCCAGAAGCGCAAGAGAAAACAAAAAGAACAAAAUUCAAUUAUUAAAUCUUAUAAAGGUGGUAUGGACAAGUUUAUUAGAAAAGAAGCAUCACAAGCGUCAUCCGGAAAUCAGUCUCAGUCUGUUGAUCCUUCUACCCUCUUGCACGGAAUUGUUCCUUACAAUGAUUCUAGAGAUGGUCAGACGGAGACAGAUAAUAUUGAGGUAGAGGACGAUCAUAUUGAUGUUAACUUGAAUAGUUCACCUCGUGCAUAUGUUGAUAAUUCUUUUUAGUCUGAUAUAUUUGAUCCGAGAAUACGGGAUUCUCUUGAUUCUAAACAUAUUGAUAUCUUAACAAAGGGUCCGAGAAGAGACUCAUUAAUUACGAAAGGUCCUAAAGAUAGAUAUUGUAAAAGGUUUAUUGUAGUAUUCUAUACUAGAUUUCUAUCAAAUGGGGAGAAUUGUGAUAGAGAUUGACUUGUCUAUUCUAAGGAACUCGAUAGAGUCUUUUGCUUUGGAUGUAAAUUAUUUAAAAAAGGUCAUCGGAAAGGUCAGCUGGAAAAUGAGGGUUGUAAUGAUUGGUCACAUAUGAGUAUGGCCAAUAGACUAAAAGAUCACGAGACAAGUGUGGAUCAUGUUUUGAGUAUGGCUAAUUGGUAUGAGUUGCGUAAUAGAUUGAAAAACCGAACUAUUGAUAAGGCUUCUCAACGACAACUUAAGAAAGAGAAGGCCCAUUGGAGAAAGGUAUUCUGAAUUGUUUGCAUUGUAACAUUUCUAGCCAAGCAUAAUCUGGCUUUCCCUGGUAUUAAUGCCAAGUUAUAUGAAGAUAGCAAUGGUAAUUUCUUGGGUUUGGUAGAAAUGUUGGCUGAAUUUGACCUUGUUAUUCAGGAGCAUGUUCGACGUAUUACAAAUGACGAAAAUCAUGCUCAAUAUGUUAAUCAUAAGAUUCAGAAUGAAUUUCCACAGUUGCUUGCUUCUUCUAUUAAGUCUGACAUUAUCAAGAAAAUAAGGAGUUCAAAGUAUUUCAUCAUACUUGAUUGUACCCCUGAUGCAAGUCGCCAAGAGCAAAUGUCUUUAAUUCAAAGAUAUCUGGAUUCAUCUUCAAAUCAGGUUUGCAUAUAAGAAUCCUUUCUAUGAUAUCUGGAUGUAAAUGAUACAACUAGACAAAGACUUUCUGAUGUCCUAGAGAAUGAGCUAAACUUCUUGAUCUUGAUAAGACAUGUGAGAGGACAAGGUUAUGAUAAUGGGUAAAAUACGAAAUGAAGGCAUCAAGGGGUACAAAAGAAACUUUUGUGUGUAAAUCCUAGAGCCUUUUAUUCUGAUUGUGGUUUUCAUAGCCUUAAUUUGACACUUUGUGAUGUGGACAAGACUUGUGGUAGAGCAAAAGACCUUUUUGGAAUCAUCAAACACAUCUAUAUUUUUGUGAAUUCUACGAAGAAAUGACAUGUUUUGAAAGAAAACAUAUCAGGAUUGACUCUCAAGUCUGUGUCAACUAUGCGUUGGGAGAGUCGUGUUGAAAGUGUUAAAGCUAUUAGAUUUCAGUGUUCAGACAUUCGCGAGGCUCUACUUUAGGUAUCUAAAACUAAUAGUGAUCCAGGGACAAGAAGUGAGGCUCUAGUUUGGCAAAAAAAUGAACUUGGAGAGCACGAAUUUGUCGUGGCAAUAAUCAGUUGGUAUGAGGUUGUUAAUUUAGUAAGCAAAAACUUGCAAGCAAAUGAUAUGCUUAGUAAUGUUGCUAUUGAGAAAGUGAAAGGGCUUAUUUCUUUCUUCCAGGGGUAGAGUGAAGCUGGUUUCUUAGAAGCAUUGGAGAUAUCCAAAGAAAUUGCACUUGGGAUGGAUAACUGUGCAACAUUUCAUGAAAGCAGAGAAAUUAAGAGGAAGAAAGAUUUUGAUGUGAAACCAAACGGCACAAAUAGUGCCACACAGUUUGUAGAGGAAUAAUUUAGAAUCAACUAUUUUAUACCUCUUGUUAAUCAAGCAAUUUCCUCACUCACAAGGACAUUCGAGCAAUAUCAGGGUUACCAAAAAAUUGGUUUCUUAUUAACCUCUGAAACAUUGUGCUCAUUGGAUAAGGAUAGUUUGAAAUCUUCUUCUGUUAAUCUUGAGGCUGCCCUUAUGAAGGAUAAAAAAUCUGAUAUUGAUGCCAAUGAUCUGUUUGUUGAGUUGAAGUUUCUUCGAAAUUUCAUGCCAAAAGAAAAUAUUAAACCUAUUGAAAUUCUGUUUUUUAAGUGCCAUGAUUUUUUUCCCAAUGCAAGUAUUGCAUAUCGAGGUCUAUUGACCAUUCCUGUGAUGGUUGCAUCGGCAGAACGAAGCUUUUCUAAACAGAAGCUAUUGAAGUCCUAUAUGCGUACUACUACGACACAACAAACACUCAAUGAUCUGGCCACAAUAGAACUUGGGAGCGAAGUGUUUGAUAAGAUUUAUGAGGAUAACGUUGAAGAAUUCAUUUCAAAGAAUACUAAAAGAAUGAUGUUGUUCAAAUAA
rnacentral:rRNA from 1 species